UACGGAGGGGGCUAGCGUUGUUCGGAAUUACUGGGCGUAAAGCGCGCGUAGGCGGUUUUUUAAGUCGGGUGUGAAAGCCCGGGGCUCAACCCCGGAAGUGCAUUCGAAACUGGAGGACUUGAGUCCGGGAGAGGAGAGCGGAAUUGCGAGUGUAGAGGUGAAAUGCGCAGAUAUCGGGAGGAACACCGGUGGCGAAGGCGGUUCUCUGGGCCGUAACUGACGCUGAGGCGCGAAAGCGUGGGGAGCAAACAGG
rnacentral:rRNA from 1 species